rnacentral:rRNA from 1 species
CGUCGAUAGGAGGCAUGUGGACCGGCAGCAAUGCCUGAAGCUAAGCCUUACUAAUCGCUCGAUCGGCUUGAUC